rnacentral:snoRNA from 1 species
GAUCAAGUGAUGAGAGAAAACUGCAACAAUAUGAAGGGCUCAGGCCCCGGGAUUCCUAGUAUUUAAGUCUCUGAUGAUU